rnacentral:rRNA from 1 species
UACGAAGGGGGCUAGCGUUGCUCGGAAUCACUGGGCGUAAAGCGCACGUAGGCGGCUUUUUAAGUCAGGGGUGAAAUCCUGGAGCUCAACUCCAGAACUGCCUUUGAUACUGAGAGGCUCGAGUCCGGGAGAGGUGAGUGGAACUGCGAGUGUAGAGGUGAAAUUCGUAGAUAUUCGCAAGAACACCAGUGGCGAAGGCGGCUCACUGGCCCGGUACUGACGCUGAGAUGCGAAAGCGUGGGGAGCAAACAGG